ACAACUCAUGACGGUGGAUGUCUUGGCUCCAGCAACGAUGACGAACGCAGCGAAUUGCGAAAGUAGUACGAACUGCAGAACCCGUGAAUCAUCGAAUUUUUGAACGCAAGGCGCUCGCGGUAAUCCUGCAGUGUCUGUUUGAGUGUC
rnacentral:rRNA from 1 species